GGCCCGGUAGGCUAACUGGCAACGCCGCCCGCCUCAGGAGCGGGAGAAUGGGGGUUCGAAUCCCUCCUGGGCCA
rnacentral:tRNA from 1 species